AGUGGGGAAUAUUGGACAAUGGGGGCAACCCUGAUCCAGCGAUGCCGCGUGUGCGAAGAAGGCCUGCGGGUUGUAAAGCACUUUAGUUGGGGAAGAAAGUUCGUAAUUCGAAUAGGGUUACGAGAUGACGUUACCCAAAGAAUAAGCACCGGCUAACUCUGUGCCAGCAGCCGCGGUAAUACAGAGGGUGCGAGCGUUAAUCGGAAUUACUGGGCGUAAAGGGCGCGUAGGCGGUUGUAUAAGUUAGAUGUGAAAUCCCCGGGCUUAACCUGGGAACUGCAUUUAAUACUGUAUGACUAGAGUAGAGUAGAGGGAAGUGGAAUUUCCGGUGUAGCGGUGAAAUGCGUAGAUAUCGGAAAGAACACCAGUGGCGAAGGCGGCUUCCUGGACUCAUACUGACGUUGAGGCGCGAAAGCGUGGGUAGCAAA
rnacentral:rRNA from 1 species